rnacentral:rRNA from 1 species
UACGUAGGGGGCAAGCGUUGUCCGGAUUUAUUGGGCGUAAAGAGCGUGUAGGCGCCUGGUAGGUCAGUUGUGAAAACUCGAGCUCAACCUCGAGACGCCGAUUGAAACCACCAGGCUAGAGUCCGGAAGAGGAGAGUGGAAUUCCCGGUGUAGCGGUGAAAUGCGUAGAGAUCGGGAGGAACAUCAGUGGCGAAGGCGGCCAUCUGGGACAACACUGACGCUGAGGCACGGAAAGCGUGGGGAGCAAACAGGG